GGGGCACGCUCAGCAUGAAAAUUGGGGCCUUUGAGCCUGAGUUGUAGUCUUCCGAGGUAUUGCCAACAGAGGCGCUGCUGUAUGUCUCUUGGAAACGAGCAUCAACGAGGGUGAGGGCCCCGCUUGUCAGUAGCAGCCCGCUGUGCACAGUGUACACUCUAAGAGUCACGCUCCUUGGGAUUGGAGCGCAAUGUUGGUGGUAAGCUUCAUCUAAAGCUACAUAUGGGCUCAAGACCGAUAGCAAACAAGUACCAUGAGGGAAAGUUGAAAAGGACUUUGAAAAGAAAGGUAAAAGUGCUUGAAAUUGCUGGAAAGGAAGUGAGCGAAGCCAAAGUGUCUUGGGUGAGGUUGCUGCGUGCUGCCGCCAGUGCUUGCUGUGCCAGCGCAUGCGUGCCAGCGAAUCACGCGCAAGCAGCGCACUGUGCUUCUCACCUUGUCUGUCAAUGUUGCCUCGCGUCUGAGGAAGAUUUCAAGGGCAUGGUAGCUCCCCCAAGGUGUGAAUGUUCUUGUGCGUACUCGUGCGUGGGG
rnacentral:rRNA from 1 species